AGAACGACUCUCGGCAACGGAUAUCUCGGCUCUUGCAUCGAUGAAGAACGUAGCGAAAUGCGAUACUUGGUGUGAAUUGCAGAAUCCCGUGAACCAUCGAGUCUUUGAACGCAAGUUGCGCCCGAAGCCCUUAGGCUGAGGGCACGCCUGCCUGGGUGUCACCA
rnacentral:rRNA from 35 species